UGGGGAAUUUUGGACAAUGGGGGCAACCCUGAUCCAGCAAUGCCGCGUGAGUGAAGAAGGCCUUCGGGUUGUAAAGCUCUUUUGUCAGGGAAGAAACGGUCCGGGCUAAUAUCCUGGGCUAAUGACGGUACCUGAAGAAUAAGCACCGGCUAACUACGUGCCAGCAGCCGCGGUAAUACGUAGGGUGCAAGCGUUAAUCGGAAUUACUGGGCGUAAAGCGUGCGCAGGCGGUUGUGCAAGACAGAUGUGAAAUCCCCGGGCUCAACCUGGGAAUUGCAUUUGUGACUGCACGGCUAGAGUGUGUCAGAGGGGGGUAGAAUUCCACGUGUAGCAGUGAAAUGCGUAGAGAUGUGGAGGAAUACCGAUGGCGAAGGCAGCCCCCUGGGAUAACACUGACGCUCAUGCACGAAAGCGUGGGGAGCAAACAGGAUUAGAUACCCUGGUAGUCCACGCCCUAAACGAUGUCAACUAGUUGUCGGGUCUUAAUUGACUUGGUAACGCAGCUAACGCGUGAAGUUGACCGCCUGGGGAGUACGGUCGCAAGAUUAA
rnacentral:rRNA from 1 species